rnacentral:tRNA from 1 species
AAUAAGUAUGAACAAUGGAAAUUUCUAACUUCCUAAAAUAUGGUUUAAAUCCAUUUUUAUUU